AUUUGAAGUCCAUUCUAAGUGAUACUCGUGUCUUUGCCGUUACUGUAACCGACGCUCGAAACUGAGCUAGGCUCAUUCACUUUUGGUAUAAAAGCAAAGCGAGAAUUUGGCUAUUAUUUUAUAGCAACUAAUUAGAAAAACAAGACAGCAAAAGGCAGAGUAGCAACAAGUGAAAGACGUUUUGAAAGAGCAGGUAAACACGGGAACAGACAGUCGCGUGAAGAUAAUAAGAACCGCAAUCGUACCGAAGGGCGCAGAGGCCGCAAGAAAUACCAAACGAUCCAGAAUGCCAGGUCACUCACGCCUUUGGAUAUCGCAGGACGAACAUAUAGGACAAACUCGCACCAAACUCGUACUUGACAUUAUCGGUACUUUAACAUUGCUUCGUUUGGUAAUCUAGGGAUUACGUAACAGUGCUCAAAGCCAGAUAGAAGCAGGAAUCCGGAACGGAAGAACAGAUUACAAAUAACUCGAGGAGAGGUCAUCUGAAUUUCAAGCCAAGGGGCAACCCACCCCUUCCAGAAUUCUUUUUGCUCGGAGGGAGCGCAGCGACCGGAGCAAGUCUAAUCUUGGUAUCGCAUAUGCGAAAAGCUGAUUUUUCGUGUCCACACCACAGGCUUCCCAGUCGGCUGAUUUGUAUUUUUAUUUCAUGCUGAUCAGCGGUCUUUUCAGCGCAUGCGCGAGUUUCAUAUAGUGGAUGCGAUUUUUCGUGUCCACACCACAGGUUUCCCAUUUGGCUGAUUUGUAUUUUGAUUUCAUAUCGAUCAGUGGUCUUUUUCGAGAACCCCUGUACUGAAACAUCGUUCGUCCCGUCCUCCGAGCAUUCACUUUCUAUUAGAAACUUCUAGUUUAA